AACGCGAAGAACCUUACCUGGGCUUGAACCGCACAGGACCCUCCCUAGAAAUAGGGACUUCCCGCAAGGGACCUGUGUAGAGGUGCUGCAUGGCUGUCGUCAGCUCGUGUCGUGAGAUGUUGGGUUAAGUCCCGCAACGAGCGCAACCCUUAUCUCCAGUUGCUACCAUUUAGUUGAGCACUCUGGCGAAACCGCCUCGGAUAACGGGGAGGAAGGUGGGGAUGACGUCAAGUCCUCAUGGCCUUUAUGUCCAGGGCUACACACGUGCUACAAUGGCCGGUACAAACCGUCGCAAACCCGCGAGGGGGAGCUAAUCGGAAAAAGCCGGCCUCAGUUCGGAUCGCAGUCUGCAACUCGACUGCGUGAAGCUGGAAUCGCUAGUAAUCGCGGAUCAGAACGCCGCGGUGAAUACGUUCCCGGGCCUUGUACACACCGGUACUA
rnacentral:rRNA from 1 species